AGCUUUAUAGUCAAUUUUAUGAUAUUAGACUGCAAUUCUAAAGUAGGUAUUACCUAAAGCUU
rnacentral:tRNA from 1 species